GAGGGAUUAUUGGACAAUGGACGAAAGCCUGAUACCAGCCAAGCCGCGUGCAGGAUGACGGCCCUAUGGGUGGUAAACUGUUUUAUAUAUGGUAAAAAAUGAGCGGUACUUGCUACCACAUUAUAUGUCGUCACGGUCACCAGCUAUCGAUAUAAAGG
rnacentral:rRNA from 1 species